rnacentral:lncRNA from 1 species
UGCAGUGUUGCCCAGAGUUGCAUUAAAGAGCAGAGUGGGGCUCUGGAACCUCACAUCAAACGGGGCUCUGUGAUCUCAUAACGAGAUGGAAUCUUUUAACUCAGCUCAACAUCUGAUCCUUAGUCCUCUGCCAGUGCUCCCCAAUGUAUGCCCAUAUUGGCUGUCAACUCCUGGACCUCACCUCUAUUCAAUUCCCUCAUUCUGGACAGGCCUGGAUGGAGCACAAGUAGAGAAUGGUGCAGGAUCGUCGUCGGAUUUGCUGGCUAUACCCGGGGCUGAGGACAAUACUACAAUACUACAACCCGUAGUUUAAGGAUUCUCUGAGAGUGAGGCUCCCGAUAUGCUGAAAUCGUGGGCACCUGAGGAGUGAGGUUCUGGGGUAAGAGUUAGCCAAGAGUCCCCAGACCACUCCUCAGGACAGAGACGGAGGAGUCUGCUGUUUUGUAAGCUCUCCGUUGUGGAAGGCGCCAUCUUGGGGAAAACAGAGUGAAGAGUGGCAGCCAUUUUGUAAGAGAUUAAAUCCUUCUUUGAGGAAGAAAGUCCAUUAUUAUUAAUUCCAGCUAAAACCUGUCCUUUUCAUUAUAUUUCCCCACAAAUGUUGUAUCUAAAAAUCUGUCAUCUCCAAUCCAUUUCUCCUACGUUAUCUUUAUUUUCUUAAUUCACCAUCUUAUUCUGUAUACUCUGCAGUCUCACUUUAGGGAUUCUGCCAUUUUGUUUCCUAAGUUCUGCCAUCUUUAUUUUUUCCCGUGUUUCGUCUUUUUUAGCCAUCUUUACUUUUCCCAUGCACCCUUUCUGCCAUUUCUGUUUUUCCCAUGCCAUCUUUCCUUAUUUCGCCAUCUUAUUCUAUAAACCCCGCCAUAUUAUUUUAUAGAAUCCAUCAUCUUAAUUUAUGAAUUAAGCCAUCUUUGUUUUACACUUCCUUUCUGCUAUUUCCGUUUUUCCCACGCUAACUCUCCUUUAUUCCGCCAUCUUACUUUAUAAACUCAGCCAUAUUAUUUUAUAAACUACUUCAUUUUAAUUUAUAAAUUAAGCCAUCUUUCUUUG